rnacentral:misc_RNA from 1 species
UCAAACUUGGUCAUUUAGAGGAAGUAAAAGUCGUAACAAGGUUUCCGUAGGUGAACCUGCGGAAGGAUCAUUGGCGAUUGAGUGGGAUUUGGUGGGUUGGGUGAGUGGGUUGGAUGGUUAAGGGAAAACUUUAACUGUUCAUCACAUCUGCCCAUCUCGUCUCAUCACAACACAUUUGCGCUUUAUAUGUAUUGACUUGUCGAACGUUUAUUAAUUAAUAAAACUUUUAACAAUGGAUCUCUGGGCUCCUGCAUCGAUGAAGAACGCAGC